CCACUCAGACUCCAUCGCCGCCACACCCGCUGCUCAGACUCCAUCACCGCUGCACCCGCUACUCAGACUCCGUCGGAUUUCUCGUUGCAACUCUAUCACCAUACCUCCAUCAACUUCGUUGCCCACAAUAGAGCUUGGUCAAAAGAGAUUUUUGCCCAUAGCAGCGCCCACUGUCUUCACCUUCGUAGCCGCUCAUCACCGUCGCUGUCGCUCAUCGCUGUUUGCUUGUUUUUCGUCGUCUUCGACGUCGUUGCUAUUACUCGUCAACUGUGCCUUAUCUGAUAUAGGUUAGUUCUAUUCCAUUUUUCUCUAAAUCUUAAACCCUAAUCCCAAAUCCCUAUUUCCUUUUAUCAAGGGAAUAUAAGCAGCAUAAAAGGGGAUUAAGGCUGCAGAGAAUGGAUUAUCAACGGUGGAGAAGGGAAUUGAAGUUGCUGAAGAAGAGAGUGAAACGACGGUGAGCUUCGGAGCAUUAGCACAAGCUGGCGAUGGUGAGCUUCGACGGCGUUCCUCUGAUCUUGGAUUUGUCCUAACCUACAAACAAUUUCUUAAAACCACAGGGAAGUAGCUCUUUUGGUGUCGUUAACAUGUUAUUUUCUUAGAUAUCGGCCUAGCUUGUGCACAAAAUAUUCCCCGUUAUGCAAUCGGGAAAUAAAGCAGUUGGUAUAAUGAAGGUUAGCUAGACCUAACCAUUGAACCUAUGAUCAAUGCAGGUGUUUGGCGUGACAGGAUGUGGCCUGAUGGAUGGACAACUGUAACAGAGUAACAACAGAUGGAAAACGUAGUGCUCAGUUUGAAUCAUUGUAAUUCAACUAACUUUUGCAGACAUCUGUACUUGAUGGUGAAACUGAUCUCAAGACAAGGGUAGUGACCCCUGCUUGUAUUGGACUUGAUUCAGAAUUAUUGCAUAAAA